AGGUGGGAUCAUACCAGAGUUCAUGCACCAGGUCCCAUCAGAACUUCACAAUUAAGCAUGCUUGGGCUAGAGUAGUAUUGGGAUGGGUGACCUCCCGGGAAGUCCUAGUGUUGCACCCU
rfam:Picea glauca, whole genome shotgun sequence.